rnacentral:tRNA from 1 species
GUCAGGUUGGCCGAGCGGUCUAAGGCGCCAGACUCAUGUUUCAAUUCCUUUUCAAGAUGCAUGCGAGAGUUUUCUGGUCUCCGAAUGGAGGGUGGGUACGAAUCCCACUUCUGACA